AUUGAACGCUGGCGGCAUGCUUUACACAUGCAAGUCGAACGGUAACAGGCCGCAAGGCGCUGACGAGUGGCGAACGGGUGCGUAAUGCAUCGGAACGUGCCCAGUCGUGGGGGAUAACUACUCGAAGGAGUAGCUAAUACCGCAUACGAUCUAUGGAUGAAAGCGGGGGACCGUAAGGCCUCGCGCGAUUGGAGCGGCCGAUGUCAGAUUAGGUAGUUGGUGGGGUAAAGGCUCACCAAGCCAACGAUCUGUAGCUGGUCUGAGAGGACGACCAGCCACACUGGGACUGAGACACGGCCCAGACUCCUACGGGAGGCAGCAGUGGGGAAUUUUGGACAAUGGGCGCAAGCCUGAUCCAGCAAUGCCGCGUGCAGGAAGAAGGCCUUCGGGUUGUAAACUGCUUUUGUACGGAACGAAACGGCUCUGGUUAAUACCCGGGGCUAAUGACGGUACCGUAAGAAUAAGCACCGGCUAACUACGUG
rnacentral:rRNA from 1 species